GAUGAACGCUGGCGGCGUGCCUAACACAUGCAAGUCGAACGGAAAGGUCCCUUUGGGGCUCCUCGGGUGGCGACGGCGGGCGUAACACGUGCGUGACCUUCCCUUGCCUUCGGGACUACGUCAGGAAACUGGGGCUAAUACCGGUUAGGAAUCCUAGCUGGAAGGUGGGGGUUGGAUAGUUUCGGCGGUUUUUGAUGGGCUUGCGGCGUAUCAGCUUGUUGGUGGGGUAGUGGCUUACCAAGGCGUUGUCGGGAAGCCGGCCUGAGUGGGCGACCGGCCACAUUGAGACUGAGAGACGGCCCAGACGCCUACGGGUGGGAGCAGGGGGGAAGAUUGCACGAUGGGCGGAGGCCGGGUGCAGCAGGGCCGCGGGCGGGAUGACGGCCUUCGGGUUGUAGACCGCUUGCAGCAGGAGCGAUGCUUGUGGUGACGGUACCUGCAGAAGAAGCACCGGCUAACUACGUG
rnacentral:rRNA from 1 species